rnacentral:rRNA from 1 species
ACCCGCUGAAUUUAAGCAUAUCAAUAAGCGGAGGAAAAGAAACUAACAAGGAUUCCCCUAGUAACGGCGAGUGAAGCGGGAAGAGCUCAACAUUGUAAUCUGGCUGCUUCGCAGUCCGAGUUGUAGUCUAUAGAAGCAUGAUCCGCGCCGGCCCUUGGGCAUGUCUGUUGGAACGCAGUGUCAAAGAGGGUGAAAAUCCCGUACAUACCAAGGACGACCGUGUGCAUUGUGGUCUGCUCUCUAAGAGUCGAGUUGUUUGGGAAUGCAGCUCUAAUUGGGUGGUAAAUUCCAUCUAAAGCUAAAUAUCGACGAGAGACCGAUAGCGAACAAGUACAGUAAUGGAAAGAUGAAAAGUAGCCUGCAGAGGCAAUGAAACAAUACGUGAAACCGUUUGUAGGGAAGCGAUGGAACCUUUUCACGCUGCGAGGGUUCAGCUUGGCUUCGGCUUAGUGUAUUCCCUCGUUUUGCGGACCAGCAUCAGUUUGCUUCGCAGUAUAAGGGUGAUCGGAACGUGGCUUCUCCGGAAGUGUUAUAGCCUUUCACUGGAUGCUGUGUCGCAAACUGAGGACUGCAGUGCGCCGUAAGGCAUGGUCUUCGGGCCACGAGCACUUAGGAUGCUGGGCGAAUGGGUUUCAACAACCCGUCUUGAAACACGGACCAGGGAA